rnacentral:rRNA from 1 species
UACGUAGGGGGCAAGCGUUAUCCGGAUUUACUGGGUGUAAAGGGAGCGUAGACGGCAAUGUAAGUCUGGAGUGAAAGGCGGGGGCCCAACCCCCGGACUGCUCUGGAAACUAUGUUACUAGAGUGCAGGAGAGGUAAGCGGAAUUCCUAGUGUAGCGGUGAAAUGCGUAGAUAUUAGGAGGAACACCAGUGGCGAAGGCGGCUUACUGGACUGUAACUGACGUUGAGGCUCGAAAGCGUGGGGAGCAGACAGG